CCCCAGACUCUUACGGGAGGCAGCAGUGGGAAUUUUGGACAAUGGGGGAAACCUGAUCCAGCCAUCCCGCGUGUAUGAUGAAGGCCUUCGGGUGUAAAGUACUUUGGCAGAGAAGAAACGGUAUCUCUAAUACGGGAUACUGCUGACGGUAUCUGCAGAAUAAGCACCGGCUAACUACGUGCCAGCAGCCGCGGUAAUACGUAGGGUGCAAGCGUUAAUCGGAAUUACUGGGCGUAAAGCGUGUGUAGGCGGUUCGGAAAGAAAGAUGUGAAAUCCCAGGGCUCAACCUUGGAACUGCAUUUUUAACUGCCGAGCUAGAGUAUGUCAGAGGGGGGUAGAAUUCCACGUGUAGCAGUGAAAUGCGUAGAUAUGUGGAGGAAUACCGAUGGCGAAGGCAGCCCCCUGGGAUAAUACUGACGCUCAGACACGAAAGCGUGGGGAGCAAACAGGAUUAGAUACCCUGGUAGUCCACGCCCUAAACGAUGUCAACUAGCUGUUGGGGCCGUUAGGCCUUAGUAGCGCAGCUAACGCGUGAAGUUGACCGCCUGGGGAGUACGGUCGCAAGAUUAAAACUCAAAGGAAUUGACGGGGACCCGCACAAGCGGUGGAUGAUGUGGAUUAAUUCGAUGCAACGCGAAAAACCUUACCUACCCUUGACAUGUCUGGAAAGCCGAAGAGAUUUGGCCGUGCUCGCAAGAGAACCGGAACACAGGUGCUGCAUGGCUGUCGUCAGCUCGUGUCGUGAGAUGUUGGGUUAAGUCCCGCAACGAGCGCAACCCUUGUCAUUAGUUGCUACGCAAGAGCACUCUAAUGAGACUGCCGGUGACAAACCGGAGGAAGGUGGGGAUGACGUCAAGUCCUCAUGGCCCUUAUGGGUAGGGCUUCACACGUCAUACAAUGGUCGGGACAGAGGGUCGCCAACCCGCGAGGGGGAGCCAAUCUCAGAAACCCGAUCGUAGUCCGGAUCGCAGUCUGCAACUCGACUGCGUGAAGUCGGAAUCGCUAGUAAUCGCGGAUCAGAAUGUCGCGGUGAAUACGUUCCCGGGUCUUGUACACACCGCCCGUCACACCAUGGGAGUGGGUUUCACCAGAAGUAGGUAGCCUAACCGUAAGGAGGGCGCUACCACGUGAUUACU
rnacentral:rRNA from 1 species